AAGGGAGACCUAAUUCAGGUAUGGGACGAAAAAAAAGUAGUCGCUACCAAGAAUCAAUCCCAAAAGGUCGGAGCGAGGCGAAAUUGGCUUUCAAACUAGGUUCUGGGUUCACACAAGACCUGAAUCAGGAACAAGGGCUAUUAGCUCAGGUGGUUAGAGCGCACCCCUGAUAAGGGUGAGGUCCCUGGUUCGAGUCCAGGAUGGCCCACCUGCACAGGUGGCAAAAACAAGAGAAGCUCCGAAUCAGCACCUUAUCUUACUUAUAUAGUAAGAGAGAAUGCUGGCUCUGAGUUCAGAGUCCAGAGGAACCUUGAAAACUGCAUAGAGCUAGGUGAAAAAGCCAAAAAAGAAGACCACAA
rnacentral:tRNA from 1 species